UACGGGGGGAGCAAGCGUUGUUCGGAUUUACUGGGCGUAAAGGGCGCGUAGGCGGUCGUGACAAGUCACUUGUGAAAUCUCCGGGCUUAACUCGGAACGGUCAAGUGAUACUGUCGGACUAGAGUACAGAAGGGGCAACUGGAAUUCUCGGUGUAGCGGUGAAAUGCGCAGAUAUCAGGAGGAACACCGAUGGCGAAGGCAGGUCGCUGGGCCGAUACUGACGCUGAGGAGCGAAAGCGUGGGGAGCGAACAGG
rnacentral:rRNA from 1 species